CAAAAAUGUCUUUUUAGAUGAUAGGAAAUCUUUGUUUCUUCGCCAAAAAUAGAUCACCAAAGUAAGCCAACUGCUUACCAAAAGGAGACAUCUAGGUUUUUUUUUUUUUUUUCCAGUUAUAAUACAGUGAAUUUGAGUUGUAUGAUGUAUACUGAUAGUGCUACUUAGAAUUUGGGUAUACCAUGUCAAAGUGCAAGGAUGUUUUCCCGCCUUAGGUUCACUUUUCAAAUGUGUCUCUCACUUAUAUUAACUACCACUGUCUAUAGUUUGACUCAUUUUGACUCUGAAAAGUCAGUUUUUGUAACUAAUUGCCAAUGAAUGUUAGAAUGUUAUAAAUUUAUAGUUGAGUUGGAAAUUUCCUUUUCCUUUAAAUCUGGCGGAAAUGUAUUCAAGACUGAUUUUUCAUUUGCAGUGUGCAGAACCUAACAUUAAUAGUAUUUAACCGAGAGAAUAUAUAUCUGUUUUCUAAAUUGAGUCUGGGUCUUAACUGCUCAUAUCACAUGAUAUGAAGGUUAUAGAAACUACGAUGCUCUCAGACUGUGGUUAAAACAUCAUGUAGGGUUGUUGUUCCUUAUUGCAGAUUUCCUGUAUUAUUUCUAAACUGGCCCAUCUUUUUAUUAUUAGUCCCUUUAAUGCUAUUUAGAGAAAAAGUUCAGCAUCUCAUAUGAAUGUUCUCAGGAAUGGUGAUUAUUUUAAUGGUAAUAGAAAUAGUAGGUACCAUUUAUGAAGCAUCGACUCUGUGCUUGGUACUAUAUUAAUGCAUUAAUACAUUAUCUAGUUUAAUGCUCCAACAAUAACUUUAUCUCCCAUGUUGUGCAUGAGGAAAAUGGAAACUUUUAGAAAUUACAGGUAAUUUGCUGUAAGCCAUACUACCCAGAAGGGACAAAACUGAAGUUUAGCCCAAAUCCUUCUCUAUGAAACAGUUAACAGAAUUUUAUAGUGGUGCAAUUUAAUGUUAGAAAUUAACCUUUUAAUAUCAGCGAAUUUGAUUAAGAAAAUUAUGUGAACUAGAAAUUUUGAAGAAUUUCACUAAAAAUGGCUGCACCCACAGCAUAUGAAGUUCCCAGGUUAGGGGUUGAAUCAGAGUUGCAGGUGCUGGCCUACGCCAUAGCCACAGCAAUGUCAGAUCUGUGCAACGUCUGCAACCUACACCACAGCUCAUGGCAACACCUGAUCUUUAACCUACUGAGUGAGGCCAGGGAUCGAACCCCCAUCGUCAUGGUUACUAGCAAGUUCCUUACCCCUGAGCACAACAGGAACUCCUAAUCAAUAUUUUUGCAGUAAACAAUAUAUACAUGAGGUAUAAAAUUCAAGUUAGAAAAGAUUAUACAGUAAAAAAUAUAUCUUCACUCUCACCUAUACACCUUGGUUUUCCUCCGAAGAGGAAACUAUAAGCACCUGUUCCUCCUCAUAAAUACCCACCAUGAUUAUAAGCACCAGCAUGCAGGCGAGCACCUGUGCAUGUGGGCCCCCCCAACAUUCUUCCUUACACAACCCUGACAAUCCUUCCUUUUUUAUAAUGGAAGCUCAUUCUGUUCUUGGGAAAAUAUGCCUUGCUAAAAUACAGUAUUUCCAAGAUACCUUGCCAUUUGAGCAGUUAUUCAAUACAGUUCUGGCCAAUGAGAGGGAAACAGAAAUUGAGACUUAGGGUUUUAGGGAAUAUUCUUUGGAAGGCUGCAGAAUGUACAGUUUCACUUCUCUCUGCCUGAAAUGUCACUAAAAUAGUGGAACUGGGACAACCAUCUGUGUUAAGGAGGUGGUAAGUCACAUCAGGAAAAUUUGUGAAAGAAAGAAAUAGCCUGGAUUUUUGCCAUUAAAGUGGUAAGGCUGUGGUAGCACCAGACUGCUUCUGUUAGAAAAAUAAAAUUCCUAAUUUAUGUUUCAUCCUUUUAACAACAGCAUAAUAUUCUACUUUGUGGAUGUAGUAUAAUUUAUUUCUCAUCUCCCAUUAAAUUACAGUUAUGUUGUAUUAAUGGUCCCGUUAGAGACAAUUUUGCGAUGUUAUCUAUGUUCAUGUUAAUCUGUGCAUGAACACAUGUAUCUGUGCAACGAAGUCCUAGAAUCAGAACUGCUCAGGCAAAGGGAACACACACUGAGAAAGUUUAGGUGCUGCCCAAUUGCUUGCCAUAGAAAUUGUUCCAGUUUAUUGACAUCGACUCAUGAAAAAGGUUUCUCCACAUUCUUAUAAAUGAAACACAUAAAAUUUUAGAUUUUGUUUUCCAAACUGAAAAGCACAAGGUAGAUCCAAGUGUACUUUUAAUUUAAAUUUCUAAAUGAAAGAUUUUCAUACUUAUUUAAUUUCUAUCAUUAUAAAUAAUAAGGAUGAAAAUCUUUCAUUUGUGAUACAUUCAUUUAGUUUCCUUUUUCUAUACUUGAUAUUCUUUUUCCAAAUUUCAUUGUAUUCAUUUUUACCUAAGGAUUCAAAUUAAAUUUUCAAGUAUUAGGAGAUUCCUUUAUUCUUAUGUAAUUUAUAUAUUCCAAUCUUUGAAUUCGUAGUUAAGGUUUUGUGUUUUUUUUUAAUUCAUGCAAAUUCUUUUACAUUUAAUUAAAUUUAUGUAUGCAACUCAAUUCAAUUUAUGAAAUUGAAAAGGCCUUCUCCACUCAGAUUAUAAAAACUUUCUCCUAUGGAUUUGAAUGUUUGAUCCACUUUGGAGUUCAUUUGGUGUGGCAUGUGAGGUAGGGAUUCAACAUCAUUUUCUUCCAGAUGUUUACUCAGUUGUUCCAACAGAGUUAUUAAAGAAACCCUUUCCCCUUACUAGUUUGUAAUGCCACUUUUAUCAUAUACUAUAUGCUUAUCCAUAUUGGAGUUUAUUUUUGGCCAUUUUGAUCUAUUCCUUUAAUCUGUUUAGUCAUGGUCUAGCAUACAUUAUUUUAAUUAUUGUAGCAUUAUAAGAUGGCUCGUCUUUGGGUUUGGUCCCUCAUUAUUUCAUUUCUCAGAAUUGUUUUUGUUCUUCCUUGUUUAUUUUUCUACAUGAACUUUAAAAACAGCAUAUCUGCUCCUGAAAAAUAUUCUUUUAUUAUAAAUUUAAUAUUAAAUAUAAAGUAAGGAAAAAAAUCUCUGACAGGUAUUCCUAUUCAAAAACAUUAUGUACAUCUUAAUCUUAUUUUAUUUCCUCAGUAGCAUCUUAUGCUUUUAUUCUUACAAUCUUAUACAUUUUCUGUUAAUUUAUUCUAUUUUCACUUUUGGUCGCUAUCACUAUUGUAAAAGGGGUUUCUAUUUGCUCUUUUAACUUGCCAUUGUUUUUAUACAUGAUUUCAGAAUUUUAACUUACCAAAUGCAUUGCUCACUUGCGAAGUUUUUUAAUUCAUUUUCUAGAAUUUUCUAGAUAAAUAAAAGUAUCAUUAGCAAAUAGUGAUAAUUUUCUCCUUUUCCAAUUUUUAAGCUUAGUAUUGCUUCCUUAUUUCCAAGUGCAAUGAGUAGAGUAGAAAUUCAAAUUCAAAUGAGGGCUCUAUUUUAACUAAAAAACAUUAAUAUACACUCCCAACUUUACUCCAUACCUCCCACUCCCAUUCUCAGCACUAUUAAAUUUAUCCUGGUACAGCUUUCUCUCGGAAGAGCAUAACUAUCCAUAGAGAAUAUAUGUUAGCUACAACUAAUUUUUGGUGGAAAACAAGGUAGUGGAAAAAGGUAAAAAUGGUGAUAAAUUUAAAAACUAUAUGAAAGCCAAUGAAAUUCCUAAAUAAUGAAAAUAUUUACAAGCUUUAGCAAACAUUUCCACCUUUUAAAAUAGUAUUCACAGCAAUAAAAUCCAAUAUAAAGGAAAACAUUUCCCUGGAGUUUAGUGUUUAAAAAAAAAAAAAAACCUAUUUGGAAAAUUCCUCACUUUAAUCAAGAUAGAUAUUCAUGUAUAUGAUAGAGCUUUAUAAGUAUGUUCAAUAUUUUUUACUGGAGUCAAAUUUCAAUUAUUUAAUAUGGAACACUUUCUAUCCAAGUAACUGGAAACUUUAAGAUGACUAGAUAACUUUUUAAAAUUAGUGUGCAUUUUAGAUAGAAUUGUCAAACAUUUAAGCCCUCUUCAUUCUUUGUUAUAUUUCACAUUUGAUUUUCAUCAGAAACAAAUAAAUGGAUAAAAAGAACCAUCAAAUAAGAAAAAUGAAAUAUGUAAAAUAAUGAAUUAAAUAAGAUCAAAGAUGAUAAAGUCAGUUUACUAAGAGGAAUAGUUUACCUACUGCAAAUGUUGAUCUCAAAACUAAUUUCACAGCAAAUUCUUUCC
rnacentral:lncRNA from 1 species